AGCGAGCUUGAAGAGGGAGUCAGCGACGAGGCCGGCGCGGGUGAGGGUACCGAAUAGUGCCAAGAACUGCUCCACUGCCUGCUGCGGGUUGUCAUCCUCCGCGGAGGAUCGUAACUCGGCGUACAUGCUGCUCAAAACAGAGUGGCUAAACAAAUUUGAUUCAGACUGUUAUCAAGUAAAAAGAAACAAGAAACAAGAGGCAGUAAUGUCAGAGCAUAGGUGGAGACUCAGUCCAAUAAUGCAGAGAUUUGUCAGAGUCGGGAUCUUACUGUGAUCAACACAGUAGUAAGUUUGGUCAAGAAGGCCCACUGUUCAGAACAAUCAAAGGUGUUCUUCAUCUUCUCUACAAACUAAAAGGAUCUUUCUCUUGAACAUUGCACUGUCAGCAUUAGUGGUAUCAUUUGGCAUAAAAAAGUACCUACUCUACUUGAUGUAUAUCAAACUAUAAUAGUCUUAAUGAGUUUUGCUGGACUCAACAGGAUUGCUCCGAUUGGUGGGGGCAUUACUUGUAAUCAUUUUCUGUCUCUCUUUGUAAAAAGAAAGGUUUUAGUGAGUUAUGCCUAUAUCACGACAUAUUGUUUUGCUC